GACGAACGCUGGCGGCGUGCCUAAUACAUGCAAGUAGAACGCACAGUUUAUACCGUAGCUUGCUACACCAUAGACUGUGAGUUGCGAACGGGUGAGUAACGCGUAGGUAACCUGCCUGGUAGCGGGGGAUAACUAUUGGAAACGAUAGCUAAUACCGCAUAAUAUUAAUUAUUGCAUGAUAAUUGAUUGAAAGAUGCAGCUGCAUCACUGCCAGAUGGACCUGCGUUGUAUUAGCUAGUAGGUGAGGUAACGGCUCACCUAGGCGACGAUACAUAGCCGACCUGAGAGGGUGAUCGGCCACACUGGGACUGAGACACGGCCCAGACUCCUACGGGAGGCAGCAGUAGGGAAUCUUCGGCAAUGGACGAAAGUCUGACCGAGCAACGCCGCGUGAGUGAAGAAGGGUUUCGGAUCGUAAAGCUCUGUUGUAAGAGAAGAACGGGUGUGAGAGUGGAAAGUUCACACUGUGACGGUAGCUUACCAGAAAGGGACGGCUAACUACGUG
rnacentral:rRNA from 1 species